rnacentral:rRNA from 1 species
AUUGAACGCUGGCGGCAUGCCUUACACAUGCAAGUCGAACGGCAGCACGGGUGCUUGCCCCUGGUGGCGAGUGGCGAACGGGUGAGUAAUACAUCGGAACAUGUCCUGUAGUGGGGGAUAGCCCGGCGAAAGCCGGAUUAAUACCGCAUACGAUCUACGGAUGAAAGCGGGGGACCUUCGGGCCUCGCGCUAUAGGGUUGGCCGAUGGCUGUUUAGCGAGUUGUUGGGGUAAAGGCCUACCAAGGCGACGGGCGGUAACUUGUCGGAGAGGACGAACAGCCACACUGGGAAUGAGACAAGGCCCAAACUCCUACGGGAGGCAGCAGGUGGGAAAUUUGGAGAAUGGGCGAAAGGCUGAUCCAGCAAUGCCGAGGGUGGGAAGAAGGCCGUCGGGUUGGAAAGCACUUUUGUCCGGAAAGAAAUCCUUGGCUCUAAUACAGUCGGGGGAUGACGGUACCGGAAGAAUAAGCACCGGCUAACUACGUGC